rnacentral:lncRNA from 1 species
CGCGACGUUAUGUAGUAUGAAGUUUAAAUUUUAAAAUGGGAUAUAAGUGAACGGUUUUAUAGUGAAUAACUCGCAUAUUGACAUUUGACGGAUAUUAAAGACAGUUUGAGGUAAGAACAUGUUUUUUUUCUGUCUUCAGACAAUAGUUUGUCUUUACCAAUUAACUUCUUAAUACUGAACAGUUGAAAGUCAUCUAUAUUUAAAUGAGAUAUGUAAUUUAAUUUUUUUUUCUAAAAGUAAAAGGUCAGGUUUAUGAAAAACUUCGCUAUUAAACUCUCCUUUAAGUUUCAUAACAUCAUUCGGUCAGUCAGAAUUUUUUGCUGAUCGUCGAUUGUUCUCUUCUUUUAUAGAAAAUUUUUAAGGUUCUAUGUAUGAUUCAUUGUUGCAUCCUCAGUGUAUGUCUAUCUAUGUCGAAAAAUCAGUUCCACAACGACACUCUCUAAUUAAUGUAAAUGCAGAGAAAUGUCUAGAAGGUUUUUAGGCUGUAUGGUAUAGUCUAAAAUGUUGAUGUUAGUAAUAAACAAAGCAAUGUCAAUCAACUAACAUAUAUACCAGGAUUUUAAUUGUAUAUUUGCACCAGACGCGCGUUUCGUCUACAAAAGACUCAUCAGUGAAAAUGUUAAAAAGGCCAAAUGAAGUACGAAGUUGAAACGGAAUGAUGAGAUAAAUAAAACAACAGAAACAAUUACAAAUAAAUCUAACACAAAAUAAUAUAUAUAUAUGAAAAUAAGGAUAUGUGGAAUGAUUCCAAAGUUCAAAAGAAGUGGAUGUUUUCAAUUAUAUCCCUAUUGUAUGCCUACUUUGCAAGUACCAUGGAUAGUUGAAGUGGCACUACAAUAUAGAUAGCAAUACCUUAUUUUGAGGGGAAAAGGUCUGUCAAUCUAUUUAUUAUUUACAUUUAGUCUGUACCGCGCGAGAUUUCAAACAUUCCGCAGAGCAGGGUAAAUCUUUUAUAAAAUAAGACCAUCGACAGCCGUUAUGAAUUCGUUACAACUCGCAGAAAUAAAAAAUAAUAUUUUAAGUGUACAGAAAAUAUUUCGAUUGAAAUCAUUUAAAGUUUUCUGAAAUGUUCACGUAACCCAAUACUUCUUUUAAAUACUUAAGGUGCAAUAUAACUGAGGCAUUUAUGUUUAUUCAUGCGGGGACCUUUAACAAAAAUCACAAAAGGCACACAAUGUGUACGUGGUCGAUAGUUUAGUAACGACACUAUUGUUAGGCUAGGAUAUAAUAUUUCAAAAUCGGGUUUCAUAUUUUGUUUUCGUAUUCAUUAUUGAAAUAUGUUAUAAAGUUUUUACUAUUAUAAAAACACAAUAGUAGGAAAUAAUGUGUUUAAUGAUUAUCAAAAAAGCUUCGAUAUUUGGAUAUUUAUUCUAAUUAAAUAUGGAAUGCAGUUUAGUUACUAACAUAUAAAAUCAUUGUGAUUUCUUUUCAUUUGUUUACCCCUGGAAUAUAUCAUAUUAUCUGUUUUUGGAAAACAAACCUUUCAGGAUUUCGUGCCCUGUUUUUGACCUUUUAAUCUUGCAGAUACGAGGUUCACUUAUGAGACUUUUUGUAGACCAGCCCCCCUUCUGAGGUUUUUAUAAAUCUGCAUUAUCUACUGCACAAUAACAAAUUAAGUAGUUGUUAUAAUUCAAGAAAUAUAAAUGACUAUUGAGUAGACACGUUUUAAUUUUCUCGUACAAAACAGUAAAAUAGUCUACUUACUAGUUACUAGUUAUUUCGGGGCCUUUUAUAGCGGUAUGGGCUUUGCUCAUUGUUGAAGACCCUACGGUGACACAUAGUUGUUAAUUUCUGCGUCAUAUGGUCUCUUGUGGAGAGUUGUCUCUUUGGCAAUCAUACCACAUCUUCUUUUUUAUAUGACAUGGAAUAUAUAUUGUUGAUAGUCAGUUGUAUCAUGUUACAUGCCAUUCAAUCCUUAUAUAUACGAUAAAUAUUCUGUGUAAUACGUUUUGUAGAUAUCAAAAUGAAUAAAACGUUGUCGUAAACACUCAAGCUUUAAUUAUUUAACCUAGACUAGAAAGGACUAUUUCACGUAAGACUACAGUUUACAAAACAUUAUAUCGUAGCUCUUAUUUUUAGUUGAUGUUUGUAUUUCUUACCUCUAACCUUUUAUUUCACCUUAUCUUGUUUUUCAUAUGAAUCAAAGAUCACAAUUAUUUAAACAACAUGUUACAUUUGCUUCAUGCUUUUCAAUAUAAAUUCCCCCUUUUUUUGUUUACCAAACCUGACCAGAAGCAUAAGAUAAAAUUACCUCCAACACACUGGACCAGUUAAUGGGUUAUUUUUAUAUAUUAUUUUCACAUUUACAAUGUGUGUCGAAUAAUAAACUUCAUGGUUCAGGUCUAUCGUUAUAAAGACUCUGUAUAGUGUUAAUAAACAGGUGAAUACAGAGAGAGGGAUACUACAGACCUAGCCAAAGCCAAGUUUUUAAAUUUGGUUAAUAUGGCAUAUUUGCUUUUCUUUUUGAAUGGUUCCUAACUUUUUAAGAAUUUGGAUAUUUAUUAGUUUGAAAUAUUACGUUGCCAUCUAUCUAUUGUUGAAGAAUGUUUAAUUAAUCUAGACAUAUUGUUGCUUCUGUCGGCGGUUUUGUUCCUCAAUAAUGUACACUCAACUCUUACUUUAUUACAUGUCGAUCUUAACAGUUAAACUGAAUAAAGGGUUGACAGCUGCAUUGCAAUGCUAAUUCAUAUGAUCGAUAACGAAAGAAUAUUUAUUACUCAAAUAGUAUUUACAAAAUGAUUGCCGGCAAAGGUUAAGAAGUAAGCUCCUCAAAUUGCUAAAACUUGUUAUCGCUAGCAUAUAAUUAGGAAAUGCAACCAGAAUGAAAUGUUCAUAAAUAGUAUGACAAGUCUGUUUACACAUGUAACUACACAUACUAUACUUCUUUUAAAUACUUUCGGUACAAUAUAACAAAGAUCCAUGUUUGUUUAUUUAAGAGUAAAAUUUUAAAUAAAUAGACAAAUCGCGUGUUUUUCAUUGAUUGCUACUUAGUAACUAGACGCUACAUUGGGUACAAUAACCUUUUAAAUGGAAUGUAAAUGAANNNNNNNNNNNNNNNNNNNNNNNNNNNNNNNNNNNNNNNNNNNNNNNNNNNNNNNNNNNNNNNNNNNNNNNNNNNNNNNNNNNNNNNNNNNNNNNNNNNNNNNNNNNNNNNNNNNNNNNNNNNNNNNNNNNNNNNNNNNNNNNNNNNNNNNNNNNNNNNNNNNNNNNNNNNNNNNNNNNNNNNNNNNNNNNNNNNNNNNNNNNNNNNNNNNNNNNNNNNNNNNNNNNNNNNNNNNNNNNNNNNNNNNNNNNNNNNNNNNNNNNNNNNNNNNNNNNNNNNNNNNNNNNNNNNNNNNNNNNNNNNNNNNNNNNNNNNNNNNNNNNNNNNNNNNNNNNNNNNNNNNNNNNNNNNNNNNNNNNNNNNNNNNNNNNNNNNNNNNNNNNNNNNNNNNNNNNNNNNNNNNNNNNNNNNNNNNNNNNNNNNNNNNNNNNNNNNNNNNNNNNNNNNNNNNNNNNNNNNNNNNNNNNNNNNNNNNNNNNNNNNNNNNNNNNNNNNNNNNNNNNNNNNNNNNNNNNNNNNNNNNNNNNNNNNNNNNNNNNNNNNNNNNNNNNNNNNNNNNNNNNNNNNNNNNNNNNNNNNNNNNNNNNNNNNNNNNNNNNNNNNNNNNNNNNNNNNNNNNNNNNNNNNNNNNNNNNNNNNNNNNNNNNNNNNNNNNNNNNNNNNNNNNNNNNNNNNNNNNNNNNNNNNNNNNNNNNNNNNNNNNNNNNNNNNNNNNNNNNNNNNNNNNNNNNNNNNNNNNNNNNNNNNNNNNNNNNNNNNNNNNNNNNNNNNNNNNNNNNNNNNNNNNNNNNNNNNNNNNNNNNNNNNNNNNNNNNNNNNNNNNNNNNNNNNNNNNNNNNNNNNNNNNNNNNNNNNNNNNNNNNNNNNNNNNNNNNNNNNNNNNNNNNNNNNNNNNNNNNNNNNNNNNNNNNNNNNNNNNNNNNNNNNNNNNNNNNNNNNNNNNNNNNNNNNNNNNNNNNNNNNNNNNNNNNNNNNNNNNNNNNNNNNNNNNNNNNNNNNNNNNNNNNNNNNNNNNNNNNNNNNNNNNNNNNNNNNNNNNNNNNNNNNNNNNNNNNNNNNNNNNNNNNNNNNNNNNNNNNNNNNNNNNNNNNNNNNNNNNNNNNNNNNNNNNNNNNNNNNNNNNNNNNNNNNNNNNNNNNNNNNNNNNNNNNNNNNNNNNNNNNNNNNNNNNNNNNNNNNNNNNNNNNNNNNNNNNNNNNNNNNNNNNNNNNNNNNNNNNNNNNNNNNNNNNNNNNNNNNNNNNNNNNNNNNNNNNNNNNNNNNNNNNNNNNNNNNNNNNNNNNNNNNNNNNNNNNNNNNNNNNNNNNNNCUGGCCUCCGGCCAUCGGAGUGAUCUUACACUGACACACCGAGUCCUCAUGGGAAAACUAUUAUUGAUAGAUCAAUUUGAGCUUUUAAAGUGGCAUGUGUGAUAUUAGGUUCAAAUAGAAGCAAACAAGAAGUUAAAUGAUUUACCUUGCAGGUUGUUAAUCUUGCAAAAAACACCAACGUCAUGAAGUUGAUGGAAAAGUUAAACUUGAUUUUACAAAUUAAUUAAUAUCUAACUUAAAUGUCAUGUUUGCACUCAAUAGAAGUACAUUCAAUUUGUAUUGUUGAAAACAAAUUAAGAUUUUGUAGCACUACAACUUAUAGUAUAUAUAGUUGUGAAAUACAAAAUGUAUAUUAUAAUGAUACAAUUUAGAUGCCAAAUAAAUAGAAUACAAAUACACACUACUUUAUAUAACUGACACAAUUUAAAGGAAUACUCUCUAAACUAUAUAGUAGAGAAGCGAAACGUUUCUUUUGAAUACUAAAAAAACUUCCUAACAGUACAUGUUUUUUUUAAUGGUUUUACAUGCGGCGCUCAAAUAUUUUGCAUGGUUUUUGGUAUAGUGUUUAGACAUAUAUGAUAUUGUAAGAACCUUUAACGUAUAAUAGAUUCACAUUCGUUACUUUGCUCAAUAUAAAAAAAACAUAAGCAUUAAUUUAUAUUAAAAACUGAAGGUCAGACAUUACUAAUACGUGUUCAUUCAUUCUUUAUUAAAGUUUAGACCUUUUUAUCAAGAAUGAUGAUGAGAGUAAUUGUAAAAUAUAAUAGGCAUGUACUUUCUUACGUUAUGGAUCAUUGAUUGUGUUACCUGUUGACCCGGUUGAUUACUAAUACGUGCCAUUGAACUCGACCGUUUUAAAUCAACGCCAAUAUAUAUAUAUAUAUACAAAGGAAGGAAGGCGAGGGAAGAACCAAAAUUUGCGAAAGCAAAUUUACAGAUCUAAAUUGUUGGGUUGAUGUUUAGACGAGUUGUAUAUAUAUACAAAGUAUAUACAAAGUACUAUAUACAUAUUAUAUGGAUAAGAAAAUAAACUAUUAUAAGGAUAUAUUGUUUGAAUGAAAAUUUUUAUACGGUGAUACUUUAACACCGUCCCGACAGAGACUGAAUGCAGUAUAUGAUCAGGUUUCGGGAUCCGGGAAGUCUUUUUUCGAAUUUCCGAAUGUCGGGAAUAUUUUUUUCCAACUUUAAUAGAGUAACUCGCACGAAAAAAAAUAAACAUACCAAAAAAGCAACAGCUUCAACGGUAAACUAGGACAUAUAUCAACAGAAAACGAAUUAAAGAAACUGUCAUGCAUAAAACAAAAAUAUGCAUGACUGUGUUAAUUUGCCUCCGCUGCAUUUCUGUGGAUUGUCUCAUUGGCAAUCAUACCACAUCUCCUUAACUUUUUUAGGUUACGUUUAGGAUUUUACGUUACUAAUCUUCAAAUACAAAAAACAUUUUUACCGGUGUUCACAACAUUUCAAGGUUAAAUUUAUGGCAUACAUUCUGGUGUGUAUACAAUUAACGUACGUCCUUGCAUUUAAUUAUCAAUAUAUAUUUAUAUAAACUAACAUUUAUUAAAAAAAUAAACAACAUAUAUAUAUAUAUAUAUAUAUAGACGAAUAAUUUAUUAUUUCCUCAACAAAAAAAGAAAAGAAAUAAAGAAUUAACACAAGAUUUAAUCUUUUUUUUUUUAAUUAAUCAAAAUAUACUUCAAAUUCUAAUAAUAAAAUACAUAUAUACAUGUAUUAAUCUAAAAUGCAUUAUCGAGUAGAAGGGGCGGCAACUCGUGGUAUCAAACCGGUAUACUGAACGGAUCAAAACAGGGUCUGAAAAUUUUGAAUGUUCUUUUGUAUCCAUGGUCUGUUUUGGUCUGACACGGUCUUAACGGGUCUAAACAACCCGCUCGACGAUUCAGUCUUUUCCGUCUUGACACGCCUUAACGAACUGAUUUACCUGAUGAGGCUAUCGAUCUGAACGGCGACUUAACUAUCUUAAAUAUCUUGACGAUUUUUUCUAGCGGUAAAUCCAGUCAAUCAAGAUGUGAUCAGAACAAAAUGACCGUUUCAGACUGAAAUCGUGCUACUAGUGUGAGGAGCCAUAACACAAACAAUAGGGUGAAUUAACCUUUUAAAUAUGUGGUUAUAUUUCACGUGACAAUAGGUGUAUUUAUAUAAUAAUGUUGUGUUUAACAUUGACUAUGCGAAUAUAGUAGCCAGGAUGAGAGAUAAUAAUGCAUGACCCGAAGGGGAGUGAACUAUUGUCUCUCACCCUGGCUACUAUAUUCCAUAGUCAAUGUUAAACACAACAUUAAUAUCAUUAUUAUACUGACUGUUUACUAUUUCAAAUAGUGCUAAUUGUGUAUUGCUAUGUAAAAAAAUGCUUUCUAGUAUCAUGAGUAUGACAAGAAGCCCUUUAUGUAACUCUGAAUAUAUGUAUGCUGUCUUAAAGAAAGUUGAUUUUGUCUACUUGACUGUUAGAAAGAGUUACAAAUAAAUAGAUUCAAAAGUAUGUGUUUUGACAUGAAAUUGUUGAUUUGAACUAUAUCUGAAUAUAAAUCAUUCUUGACUAGUUAAACAAGUAGAAUUCUGCUUUAGCUGGUUCUAGAGGUUGUCUUAAACUUGCUAUGAGGUACCUAUAUUUUGCUCAUUGUUGAAGGCCUGAACUCAUGUUGAAUUCAAGAUGAAAAAUUACCACACACAGGCUUUGUGUCAUAGCUUUUAUAGUCCGGUGAUGUUUUGGAUUUUGUCUAAACAAUGUUUACUCCACAACCCGUCCAUUUUAUUCUCAUUAACAUUUUCUAUAGUACUCAAUAACUUACAACUUAAUGUGAUCAUAACUAUUUAUCUGUAACAAAUGACUUCUAAAGUAUUCAAACAAUUUUAACUUCAACGGCAAUAAGCAGAAGUAAACAAAGAACAAACACGUUCUAAUAGAAACUAUAGUAUUUUAAAGUCUCUUAAAAUGUCAGAAAAUUUAAAUGAUAACUUCAAUUUCUCCCUUAUUGUUCAAUUGUAAUAGUUAGUUAAUUGUCAGGCUUAUAAAUUCCAACCCACUUGUCUGUCAAUGCAACUAAGCUCCAGCGUGCACGUGAAAUAGGAAAUGAUUGACGUAAAAAUCAAUAGUCUGUUGCAACAACAAGGCAUACUAUUUUCGCAUAGUGCAGUUAACACUAUAUAUUUCUUUUAAAACUUUAUCAUUGAGGGACAUUCGUACAGGAAGUAUAAUAAUGCUUAGUAAUGUCCUCCGACUAAAUAUUGCGUAUGGAUCAUAUUUAUAUCACAGGUAAACUUGUGUCGAAACGGUAGUAAACACAUUUUGUAGUGCACAGCAAUACAUUUGUUUUGUGGUUAUUUGAAAAAUACUCAACUUUUCGAUCUCUCAUGUGCGUAUCAAAAAUUUAAUCUUAUAGCUGUUUUUUUACAACAUUCACAACACAACCUGAAAACUGCUUGUGAACAUCUUCUUAUGUAAUUGAUAAUAUGUAGAAAGUUAUGAGUAAAACAAUCAUUUAAAUGUUCACAAGGUAAAAGGUUUUUAUUUUCGGCUGCUGUUUAUAUGUCUCGUUUUUCCGUUCAAUCCAUCCACUAACAGUACCUUUAUAUUUGAUGUUUUUGAAAAUUUGUCUAAAAAUGUUUCUAUGUGUCGCUAUAGCUUCACUGGAAUAUUUAACUGAAAGUGAUAAUCUAUAGAGGUUGUCCUUUCCAACAGUGCAUAGUAGGAGUUUGUCAAAAAUUGGCAAAAUAUCCACAUCGUCUUCUAUUCUAUCCUUAUCCAAAUCAUCACAGUUGGUUAAUUCUUUUUCGUAUUUAGAUUUUUUUUUCAUAUUCUUCAUCUUUUUUAGUCAUAUUCUUCAUUGUUCGUGAUACUAGCAUUUAACAAUAACCCCGCCCUCUAUAUAAACUUUCAGUAUUUACUGUUAGUGACACUGCAUUGUGGUAAAUUGUUUUUUGAACAGUAGGUAUAAUAUCACAACUUGUUUAGUUUUUUGUACUUCUUUAAAAACGAAGAAUAAUCAAUUAUGGUAGUGUUUGUUCAAUCGUUCCUACACCAAGUAAUUUGUCUCGUAAUUUUGUUUUUGUUUCUUAAAAUAUCAAUAUCUCACAUGAUAUAAGACAUUUUAGAUUUGUUACUGGUUUAUCAAAUUUUUUGGAUGAUUUGGUGUUAUAUUUUGUAUCUAGCAGUUACCAAAUGUUGUUGAAAUCACUUUCUAGGAUAAAUUGCCCAAGGUAUUAAUUAAAAAAAACAUUUGUAUUGUUUUAAAAAAAGCUAUAUCUUUAUAUCAAUCUGUUUGGAGCAUAGAUAUUAAAAGGUUUUUUUUCCUGAUUGUCCCACUUUUAAAAAAUUUUGAGUUCUGAUUGUCCCACAUGAAAAGUUCAUAUUGUCCCACAUUUUUUAUGAAGUAAAAUGUUCUUAGAUAAACAAGGUAACUGUUGUUUGUUUUGCUAAAUAAACAAAAAAUAAUUUUGGCAUAUCUAAUUUUAAUUUUAUAAAAGAAUAUAUAUAAAUGUUUUUUUUAAAUCAUUAGUAUCUGAAUAAAAAAAAGGAUAAUAUUUCUGAUUUAUGAAAUAUAUCUACAAUGUUAUUUGUAAAAACGAAUGAAAAUAGCACUAAAUUCUUAUUACUUUAUUUGUAAUGUUUUUUUCCAAAAAAUAUAGAAAUAAUGCAUGCAAUUUAAAAACCAAAGGCUCUAUAGAGCCGGUAUGGCUCACCUGACUCUACUUUGGUUUUUAAAAUCAUACAAAAAAAAAAAUAUUUAACUACAAAGUAACAACACUUGGCCAGCACCUUAUUAGGAAAGGAACAUUUAUGCUAUGUUUGGUUUCAUUUAAUUGAGUGGUUCUCUAGAAGAAGAAUUUUGUAUGUAUUUCCCAGCAUGUCCUAUGUUAGUGUUGAAGUGUUGAAAUAGUACACUUAAGAAUUAAUUAUCUAUAAAAAUUAUUAGAAAAAGGCUUAUAUCUCAUCAGAUGGAUACAUAAAUACAUUUUACAAAACUUGAUAGAGUGGACACAACAAAGACAGAUCUGAGCUUACUCGCAGUUAUUGACAGCUCGUUAACAAAAAUAUGCAUCUAAAUCCAAAUUCAUCAUGUCUAUAUUAUAUUCCAUGUUUGAUGUUACUUCAAUAGUACAUACUGAAAUUUCAAAAAAAAUUGCGAAACUGCGACAGGGUUAAAACAGCAAUAAUUUAAACUCGUAUUUUGAAUUUGUUGAUAUGAAGCAAACAGGAUUUUUCUCGAUAUUGCAAAAAUUAAAAUCGUAUUUUAGUCUAAAAUAACAAAAUCAAUACACACUAAUUUCCUGAUUUGCUAUGUGAAAAAUAAAAUAUGUAAAUAUUAUCAUUUUAUCAUUUUUUCCAUCAUAUAUUUUUAUUAACCAUUUAUUUCUAUAUUCCUCUCAAAUCGAAUAAAUUCUUUGUUUUAUGAUAUAAAGUGAUGUAAAAAUUCAUGAAAACUACAUUUAGUCUAUGUUUCUAUUUAAAAUUAAAAUAACUCUAUUAAGUAAUUUUAUUAUUUUUAGAAAAAAAAAUUACUUAUAUAAGUAACUUAAAAAAAUAACUUGUUUAAGUAACGCCCCUGACUGUUGAUGAGUAACCUUUAAUUAACUUCAAAAUACUAUAAAAACAAAUUAAUCGCUACCAAAACAAUUCCCAAUUGUCCCACAUUUAAACUUCCCAAUUGUCCUAAAGGCACAUUCUCGAUUGUCCCACAAAAUUUCAUUACUUUUUUACCUGUAAUUUCCAAAAGUGGGACAAUCGGGAAGACACAAUAUUGGAUAAUGUGUAAACAUUUUCUUAUUUUCAAUAUAUAUCAUAAUAACUCUUUCUUCUUAAUCUUUAUGUGCAUCUAUGUAUUUAAAUGUGGUUAUAUCUUUUAUCCAUAUUGUCACUUCAUGUGAAUUGCUUGUCCCAUCACUUCUAAAAAGAUUUUCUUCAAAUUCUUUUUAUAAUGUGAACAUCAAUAUAUUUUAAUUAAUAAAAUAUCAAUUUUAUGUUAAUUUGACCAGCUUACAUUUUACUAUAUGUUUUUCCAGGUUGUUGCAGGCCAUUGUAAUUGACCGUGCUUAUAUGUAGAUUGGUUUUGAUUUUGGAUUACUUGAAAACUCUUGAUUGAAUAUUUUAUAUGGUAAGUACCAUUUUCUAUUCAUAAUUUUGAAAAUAUUUUGCAUAUACUAUGUGUCUUUAGAAUCUGACAUACAGUGUUUUUUUAAUUUUUAUUUUUAAAACUAAGCAGUCGGUUUUUAGAUCCCAGUAUAUAACAAAUUUUGUAUUCUAAAUGUGUUUGUCCUUAUUAACAGUUAUGUAUGUUCUAUAUUUUGACCUGCUCCUAUUAAUAGCAUUUCUGUUUAUUAUGAUAUUUAACAUUCAACCUGUAUUUGAUGAAUGAUGUAUGUGUUACACUCGUUAGGACUUAUUUUAUAAGAUUAAAUGAACAACAAUGUAAAAUACUUAUCAGUAGAUCUUUUCGUAGGAUCCAAGGAUUUUGAUUAUAAAAUAAACGAAAAUUUGAUCACACUACCUACCACCAGAUAAUAUAUAUGUCUCUGGUGGUAACAGAUAUAAAAAUAUCAAUGUAUUACAACAUACAUGUACACAUUGAAUUCGUACGACAAAACCAUGCGAUGUUUAGUUGACUAUUUUUUCUAAAGCACUCACGUGAAAAAAAAUCAUGUAUUCAAAGGUUUGUAUUUUAAGUAAAAUAUCGAAAACCAUUGUCUUUUUCUGAAAUAAAACCAGAGUAUAUGCCUGAAAACGAUAUUGUUGUUCUGUACUAUAGCCAAAUGGUAUGACUGACCAUCGUAUUGUAUUUAUUUAAUGAAACCAAAUGAUCUUGCUGGGUCUUGUUGCUCUGCCAUUAAAUAAUGAUCUGCCUAACCUUCGUCUUGUACUUCUGGAAUAAUACCGACUAACCUACCUGACCAUAGUCUAGUUGUUCUGUCAUAAAACUUAAUUAUGUGCCUGACAAUCAUCUUGUUGUUCAUUUUUCUAAAAAAAAUUCUAUCAAAACUUUUAAUUUUUCAACCCUGUAUACCACCAUUCCCCAUGUGAAAUUGAAAAAUCGUCUAAAAGAAAUAAUCCACAAUGCUUUCCAGCAUAAAAAUGGUAGCAUAUGCUAUAAAUUUAUUACUGUGGGAUACCAUAUGGCAUAUUUGUUUAAAGUGAACAAAAAUGUAAAACAUUGCACACAGAGGAACAAGUGAUCAGUAUGCUGGAAUUUCUGAUUGACAACAUAUUUGUUGAAUUUGGAGGUAGACUUUUUCAACAAAUUGUCGGCAUUCCUAUGGGAACGAACUGUGUACCUCUUCUUAUUUUCUUAUGAGUCGGAGUUCCUUCAGACACUUGUCAAAAAAAAAGAAGAUCAAAGAAGCCAGGUAAUUUAAUUUAUGCACCAAAGUAACCCUUAUUGACAGAUAUAUUGAUAAUGUUCUUUUCAAUAACAAUCCAAACUUGUCUGAUUGGGUUCCAGUAAUAUAUCCCCCAGAACUAGAAAUUAAAGAAACAACAGAUACGGCUUACUCUGCCUUAAUUUUAGACUUAUACCUCGAAUUGAACAUACACGGUCAUCUUGCAGUUCCAAACCUUUCUCUGUCGCCCGAUGCUGAUCAUUGCUUCGCUGGUGUUAACUGUGUCCGUCUUCCUACGAAAAUCAUCGCUAUUUUAUUUAAAUUUAAAUUUUAAUAAAUGAACGUUCAAGAUAUUUCCUACAGUGCCAACGCCCCAACGAUGAGUAAUCACUACCUCCUACCGCAGCGAUCGAUCAGAGGGUUGAUCAUUGGGAAAUCGGGCUGUGGUAAGACGACGCUGCUGAACAACCUUUUUCUGUGCCAUGGAUGGCUCCGACUACAAUCGAUUGUACGUCUUCGGACGUAUUUCGAUAUUAAGGUCCUUCUUUACAUCUCUAAUAUGCGUUGCGGAACAUGUUGAUUAUAUACGUUUUGUUCCUCUUUCGAUAAGGUUUCGAAUGAGGUAUAAGGUAUAUCUAUAAUUAGGGACUAAAGGUCUCAGCAGUGCAUUCCAUUAUUCAAAAUAUCUAUUUCAUUAUUCAAAAUUGGCUAUAUCUUAAUUUUCACUCGUAUUUUGGCAUUUAGGUCCUCCGUAACGCCUCUAAUGGUCAUUGCAGCACAUAUCUUUUAUACUCAGUGUAUUCCUCUGUCAAUAAGGGUUACUUCGGUGCAUAAUUUUUUCCUUAAAUAGGACCUGACGAGUUGCAGCAGUCCAUUGCAUUGUUCAAAAUCAACUAUUUCUCAAUGCUCAAGCGUAUUUCGAUAUGUAAGUACAUAUUUUUGUGACAGCGUAAAGUUACAUAUUUCUGUGACAGCGUACAAUUACAUAUUUCUGUAACAGCGUAAAAUUACAUAUUUCUGUGACAGCGUAAAGUUACAUAUUUCUGUGACAGCAGAAAGUUACAUAUUUUUGUAACAGGGUAAAGUUACAUAUUUCUGUGACAGGGUAAAGUUACAUAUUUCUGUGAUAGUGUAAAGUUUCUUAUUUCUGUAACAGCGUAAAGUUACAUAUUUAUGGGACAGCGGAAAGUUACAUAUUUCUGUGACAGCGUAAAGUUACAUAUUUCUGUCACAGCAGAAAGUUACCUUUUUUUGUGACACCGCAAAGUUACAUAUUUCUGUGACAGGGUAAAGUUACAAAUUUCUGUGACAGGGUAAAGUUACAUAUUUCUGUGACAGCGCAAAGUUACAUAUUUCUGUGACAGGGUAAAGUUACAUUUUUCUGUGACAGGAUUGAGUUCUGUGACAGCGUAAAGUUACAUAUUUUUGUGACAGUUUAAAGCUACAUAUUUUUGUGACAGCGUUAAGUUUCAUGUUUCUGUGACAGCGUAAAUUUACAUAUUUCUGUGACAGGGUAAAGUAAUAUAUUUGUGUGACAGUGUAAAGUUACACAUUUCUGUGACAGUUUAAAGUUACAUAUUUAUGUGACAGCGUAAAGUUGCAUAUUUCUGUGAUAGUGUAAAGUUUCAUAUUUCUGUGACAGGGUAAAGUUACAUAUUUCUGUGAUAGAGUAAAGUUAUAUAUUUCUGUAACAGCGUAAAGUUAUAUAUUUGUGUGCCAGCGUAAAGUUAUAUAUUUCUGUGACAGCGUAAAGUUACAUAUUUAUGUGACAGCGUAAAGUUGCAUAUUUCUGUGAUAGUGUAAAGUUUCAUAUUUCUGUGACAGGGUAAAGUUACAUAUUUCUGUGACACCGUAAAGUUACAUAUUUCUAUGACAGCGUAAAGUUACAUAUUUCUGUGACAGCGUAAAGUUACAUAUUACUGUGACAGGGUAAAGUUACAUAUUUCUGUGACAGGGUAAAGUUACAUGUUUCUGUGACAGGGUAAGGUUACAUAUUUCUGUGACAGGGUAAAGUUACAUAUUUCUGUGACAGGGUGAAGUUAUAUAUUUCUGUGACAGGGUAAGGUUACAUAUUACUGUGACAGCGUAAAGUUACAUAUUUCUGUGGCAGGGUAAAGUUACAUAUUUCUGUGACAGGGUAAGGUUACAUAUUUCUGUGACAGGGUAAAGUUACAUAUUUCUGUGACAGGGUAAAGUUACAUAUUUCUGGGACAGGGUAAGUUUUUUGUAACAUUGUUUUUUACUGUGUUAGACACCUUAGAAUGUACUUGCCCGUGCUGAGACCUGGUCAAGUAACUGUGAAGUUUUUGAUUUGUUUAUCUGUGUCAUUAUAUGAGGGUGUGGAUGGGGAUCCCGGUUCAUUUGACAGAUGCUACAUAUGUUUUUGAUAUUGUGUAUUUACAAAUUUCUGUGUCAGGGUAAAGUUACAUAUUUUUGUGACAUGGACAGUUUCCUAGAUUUGUGACAUUGUUUUUUUACUGUUUUUAUAGAGACCUUAUAAUUUACUUGCCCGUGCUGAGACCUGGUCAAGUAACUGUGAAGUUUUUGAUUUGUUUAUCUGUGUCAUUAUACGUCUUUGAAAAUGUUUAGAAUCGCCCUUAAAUGGGCACAAUCAGUGUUUCACAUUGCUCCGAGUUGUCUUUGAAAAUGUUUAGAAUCGCCCUUAAAUGGGCCCAAUCAGUGUUUCAAACUGAUCAGAUCUCUCAAUCUAAUCCGAUUUUCUUUAAAACUGGUCCGAGUUUUCCUGGUCCGACUUGUCCCAAUCCCGUCAUUGAGUGUCUCGUUUUCACAAAAACUUCAUGCUCUUCUAAUUAUGACAUAGUACCACGAUAUGUGAUGAUGCAAUACAAUACAGGUAUUAACCUUUAACUAUAUAUAAACAAUACCAAUGUUGUGUAAAACAAAUACAUUUUAAUAUUUGCUAUAAACUAAAAGUUAUUUCCCGCAGCUAGAUUCUUUUAAACUUUUGGUACGGCAAGCUAUUGUAUAUAGAAUCCAAGUAAAUAAUUUAAUAUUUGGCGCAACAUUAUGCAUGCCAAUUGCGGAAAAUCUUGCAUGGUUAAUCAUACGAUAGCAAUUUGCUUUAAAGAAAUCAAGUCCGACAGAGAAGAAAGACGGGCUGAAAGUUUUCGUUUUUAUUUUGCCACGCUUUAAUCCGCGAUAUUUAAAUACUACUGUACACAAAACAAUAAAUCAAUUUGUUCAAAUGAAAACAUCCUACGAGUACUUUAUCAGAAAAUAUAUCAAAAAGUUUGCAAUUGCGUUUGAAACUGUAAGUAGGAAACAACCCUAACCCUGUAUCAGUUCAUAAUUAUAUCACUCACUUUAAAAAAAGUGGGGUAUACUGUUUUUUACCUCUGUCUGCCCGUUAGUCCAUCCAUCCGUCAGUCCGUCCGGUCGUCCCAUGAAUAUUUUCGUCGCAUUUUUCUCAGGAACUACAUUACAAAGAUUUCUGAAAUUUGGUUCCAGGGUUUAUAUGAGUCAGUUAUAUUGUGUGAUGCGUUUUCAGAUUUAUCACUCAACAACUUCCUGUUUACCGAUAUAUUUCGGCGGGGUUGCAUCAGUAAGCAGUUGCUCAAAGUUUCACUUGUUUUUGACAUUUACUAAAAUCUACUAAAAUUGCCAAAAUCGCCUAUAGAGGUCCCGGUCACUCAUCUUUCAAGUGGAAAGGGGUUGGAAUUAACUCGGCACAAAAACUAGAAUAAACCAACAUUUCGGUUCUUUGGCCAGGUUGUUGUCUUUUUGACAGAUUCUGCAUUUCCUUUCUCAAUUUUUAUCUUAAUGUUUGUUUUACAUUUUCUAAAAGUAAACAAAAUAUAGGUGUUCUGCUUCCAUUCGAAAAAAAUUCUUUUAUUCUAAAAUGGUCAAUGUAGUAGGCAAUGAAUAACAGAACAACAAAGAAUAGAAGAAAAUCAUCAGUAAUCAUUAGAAAAUAAAAGAUGCUAGAUGCUUGAGCUAAUUCGAAAAAUGAUUUAAAAUUUUGGAUGCAUACACGAUAUUGUUUAAGCUGGUUAAUCACUGUAACAAUGUUAUCAAAUAUAUGUAUACAAUUUAAUGGUCGCAGUUCUAUUUCUUUUGUAUUAUUAUUUUUUUAUUAUGAAUAAAAUGAGAUGUGGGAUAUUGUUGGACUUAAAUUGAGUUGUUAACUUUGUUGAAAUAGCUGUAUCACACGUCGUGUAAAUCUCUAAAUUCACGCAUAUAUAAGGGUAACAAUUCAAUAAUAAACUUUCAAUGGUAUUUUUUAACGCCAUUUAAAAUCAGAAAGAGAAACAAAGGAAAUUUAGCAAUGUUGCGUUAAUUUUCAAAAAAGAUAAUGCUGGAUAUAAUACAAUGAUCUUUAAACAUGUGACAAGGACUAAUUGAGGCAGUACAAGCUGAAACAAAACAUAUAAUUAGAUCACAUCAAAUAAUCUUGUUGUUCUUAAUAUUUUUUCAAUCUUGAAAUGUCAUACUUUAGAUGUUAAAAAAAAAAUUAUUUUACUUUUACAUAAUAUUGAAAUUUUCAAGUUGACUUCGAAUCAAAUUUCUCUGAUAAGGGAUAUCCAGGCGAAACUUAUUAUAGUAAUACAUAAAGAUAGUUUGUAUUUAUGACGAACACAGUCGGAUUGAGAUUUUGCACUCGAGAUAUAUUUUUAACAAUUUUUUAAUAAAGUUUUUAAAUGUUAUUUUUCGUUUUAAUCAUUUUAAGUUUAACGUGCAUUUUAGUUUGUUUUGUAAACAUGCACAUGCGUAUAUAUUUAUUACAAGAAAUAUAUCUGAAACGGAUGAAAUGGCACACGCAUCUGCAGUUUUCAUUUAAUAAUAACAUUGAAGAUAAUACAUGUAGAAAUAACUUUAACGUUUUAGUAUGGCUAAAAUAACUAGAGAUUGUUGUUGUCUUUUUGUAUGUAUCAACCAAUUUGAACAGGAUGAAAUAAUAAGGCACAUACUCUCUAUUCCUGAACUAUCGAAUGAAGGCAAAGAAAUGUAUUUAUUGAGUAAAUUAAAAUAUAAAGGCGUAGAUAAAUCCCGUUCUAGAUACAGAGAGUGAAAGCAAACCAAAUUUUACAUAUACUUUUGACGACAGAUAAGUAUGUCGAGAUACAUUUCUGUUAUCUAUAGUAUUCGAGAGCCCAGUUUAAAAUCUUUGAUUAAACACAUCAACAGUAAUAAAUACACACAGAAAGUAUAAAAAAUUUAAUAUUCGUCCGAAAAAUACAUUUUCAUUUUAGGGGAUUUCAAAUAUGGUACCGUAGAAUAUUUGAAAAAUUAUGCUUGUCUGCAUGGUUUAUACCACAAACAGUACCUCCUAACAAACAUGACCCUGAACUGAACCUCAGAUAGUGUUAUCUUCUUGUUAAUGAAAACAGUCGGGUUUUGACACAUAUGUAUCAGCAUUUCAGACAAAUGGAACUGUAUGUAGAAAUAAAAUGAUGUGGUAUGAGUGCCAAUGAAACAACUGGUAAUCCAAGUCAUGAUUUAAAAAAGUAAAUCCUUAUAGGUCAAAGUAAGGUCUUCAACAGGGAGCCUUUAUAGACUAGAUUUGUCCACUUAACAGAAUGGACAAAUGUCUGGACGUCUUGUUGUCCGCACAUAAUUUUUGCAUCUAUUAUAUUCUGAUGUGUGUCGUACUCGUAACUUGGACUCUUGGACUGUAUAAUAGUCCCAGGUCCUAGUAACACAUGUAUAGGCCUUCAAAAUUGAGACAAAACAUACCGUAUCGUCGGCUUUAAAAGAUUCCGAUAUGAAAAAUAUGAAACAAUUAAAUUGAUUACAGCCAAUUCCAUUAAGUGUGUAGGCAAAGGUAAUAUAUUUGGUUAGCUAAGGUAUACUACCAUCCUUUCGAAGUAGCCUAGUCUUACAGACAGAUAGAUUGGGUUAUCUGUCUAAUGAGUCUCAGUCUACUGUAAAAUGAGGGUAGUUUACCUGACCUAAUAAUGACUUAAUGGUAAAGCUAGCAAGCAAGCUAACCAAAGAUAUUACCUUUGCCUUCACACUCAAUAGAAUCGGCGGUAUUAAACGCCCUAUUGGCAAAAUAUAUUCCACUCCUUUAGAUUAAAUGUUCAAAACACUGACCUUACACGACAAAUUCCCACAAUGAGCCCCUUUGAUCUAAAGGAGUAGGUUCAGUAAGACCCCUUUUUGGCCCAAAAAUAUAGCAGUUUUAGAAAAAUGUGAAAAUGUAAUCUUUAAGCUAUAUUUUGGAAAGUAAAAUGCCUCUGCUACAUAAAAAUGAGCUGUGUUUUGACAAUACAAUGCACAAAUAUCGCGUUCUAGCAUCAUUAAGUCAUGCUAAAUUACUGAAAUCUUCAAAAUUUUACACUUUUGGUUAAAUUUUAGACGGUUUCCGUCUAAAAUGAAAGUGACCGCAUUCGUGUUCAUUCAUAAUAUUGAAAUGUAAGUUGUAUUUGAUAUAAUACAAAACAUAUAUAAAGGUUUAGGAUGAACACGGAUGCGGCCACUUUCAUUUUUGACAAAAAACAUCUAAAAAGUGACGUUUUUUGGCAUAUUUAAUAGAUUUGUCACAUUUAAGCUUGAAUCAGAGCGUUUUUAAUGACUAAAUCAGUAAAUCUUCACAUUAAUAAUCGAAUCAUUGAAAUAGACACUUAAGUGUUGAAAAAGUGUCUAAAAACUUUCGUUAGAUGAACCUGAAAUUUGAGGCCAAAAUCGCCUCUUACCGGAUCUUCUCCUUUCAUUUUGAAUUUAAUUGUCAAUUGGAUUUUGAAUGGCCAAACUGUUUUAACUGGCAAUAUGAAUUGAUUCAAUCUGAACCCGAGAAAGAUUGAAUAAGAGUAAGAAUUAGUCAAGUUGAUCCUUAAUAUCAAAUAAAUACAAACAGACACCACGCGUGAAAUCAUAAAUCAUUAACAGAAAACUCAGAUGACCAUGACUUAGAAACAAAUGAGUGAAUCAAAAAAUAGCACAAAAAUUUGAAAAUUGAGCAACACUAACCCCAUGAAAAACAGAUAGUGCCCUGGAAGAAUCAGGAGUUCACACUUCAGUGUUUUUUUCUUUAAUAUAUUUAAGAGAAAAAUAAAUGAAAUCGCUACCAAAAUAAAAAGAAUUCUUUUAUAUUUGAAAUCCAACAAAUGAAAGUCUUUAUUGUUCUGUUAAUGAAGGAGAACAACAAUCGAUAUAAGACUGACUAUCUUGCUUUGUGUGUGCUAACUGGACGAUAUUAGAAAAAUAAGCCUUUGGUCAUACUUUAAACGUUGGUAGAUUUUGUCUAGCUAAAAAAAAUACUGACGGUCAAAAUUUGAUACUGUAUUUCAUGUAGCAGAAUUCUUCCGAAAAUCAUCAUCAAUAAAAUAAGUCGUUUAACAGUGUAAGCAAAAGAACGAUGAAACUAUGUACUCAGUAAUGGAGAGAUUAGAAACCAAUUCUAUCUGCUUUGAUUAAACCUAAUCUACGGUAUCAGAAAAAAACCAUUAAUUCCUCGUGGAAAAAAAAGAAUGCACAAAAUAAAAAGAAAUAGAUACUCUCCAUUGUCCUUUAUAAUAGUUCGAUAUAUUGGCUCGUCCUGUAGUUAUUCCUACAGCCGGAAUUGCACGUGUUAGGUAGGAACAUCUAUAUUAAAAAAAUCGUCCAUAUGCUAGGAAGGAAUAUCAGGCUAUAUUUUGCCAAGCACCAGGAGAAGAGUAAACUAGUAAAUUGCAGCACACUUAAAUCGACGUUAACGUUUAAUGAUUCCAAGGUUGCAUUGCUUUUACGUUAGAACACAUUUUCAUGAGUAACCAAAAUUGAAAUUUCUCAACUAGUUUUUCACCGAUUGUUUUCAAUUUUUUUACAUUGAGUUGGCAUUAGUAUUUUCUGUCUAAUUAAUAACAAAUCUGAUACUUCAUAAUUUUUGCCAUAAGGGUCGUUUUUGCUUGUUGGGCGUCAUAUAUAUAUGCUAAUGGAAUUUUUUUUGCUGAUAUAUAAGUUUUGAAUAUCCAAUUUGCAAAAAUCUACUGUACAAUGCCGUGAAUGGAUAAAAAUUGUUAAGUUUAUGAAUUCAUUGUUAUUGCAGCAAACUCUGAAUUUGUAAGGCAUACUAGGGCUAGCAGGUAGUCUAGUUCUAUGGGCUAGUAAAAUCUUGCAACCAAUUGACCCUGGGCUCUCUACUGUAAGCUAUAACAAAAUUUCUUAACCCCUGUUUAAAGCUGGCUGUUUAAGUCUUAAAAUUUUAAUUACUUUUUAAUAGUUUUUGAAGACUUUAACUUGUCAAUAAUAAAGCUAUGAAAAGUCGAGAGAAAAUAUUUUCCCGUCAAAAUUUCAAUGGCUUAUAUAUCGAAAACGAGCACGGCGACCUAUAUAUUUUUUUUUUGCUCUAUGGAUUCCUUUAUUAAUCCCCUAUCAAUAUAAACUAAUUUUGAAAAGUUUUUACUUUGAAACUGAGAAGCGAACUCCCUUAAAAAAUAGCUACCCUAAAGAUUUUAUUGCCAUUUUUCAUUAAGCCACUGUUAAAGUCAGAAUGUGCGCCAUCGACUCCAUGUAAAAAAAACUAAAAUAAAAAAAUCCCUACCUACCUACCCUAACUUUCUAGCUCACCUGCACCUGAAACUACGGGGCCAAAUUAAACCAAACUUGACCACAAUCCUCAUUGGGGUAUCUAGUUUAAAAAAUGUGUCCAGUGACUCGGCCAACCAACCAAAAUGGCCGCCAUGCUAAAAAUAGAACAUGGGUAAAAUGCAGUUUUUGGCUAUAAUUCAAAAAUCAAGCAUUUAGAGUAAAUCUAGAGGAAAAAUUGUUUAUAGGUCAAGAUCUAUCUGCCCUGAAAUUGUCAGAUGAAUCGGAAACACUCUGUGUUGGGUUCUGCCCCUGAAUGGUAAUUCUAAGGAAAUUUUACUGUUUUUGGUUAUUAUCUUGAAAUAAUUAUAGAUAGAAGAUAAAAUAAACAGCAAAAUGUUCAGCAAACUAAGAUUUACAAAUAAGUCAAGUGACCGAAAUGGUCAGUUGACCCAUAUAGGAGUUAUGCCCUUUAGUCAUUUUAACCAUUUUCGUAAAUCUAGUAAUCUUUUACAAAAUCUUCUACUCUGAACUACUGGGCCAAAUUUAUCCAAACUUGGCCACAAUCAUCAUUGGGUAUCUUGUUUAAAAAUUGUCCGGUGACCCGGCCACCAACAAAGAUGGCCGCCAAGGCUAAAAAUAGAACAUAGGGGUAAAUUGCAGUUUUUGGCUUAUAACUCAAAAAACCAAAGCAUUAAAGAGCAAAUCUGAAAUAGGUGAAAUUGUUUAUCAGGUCAAGAUCUAUCUUGCCCUGAAAUUUUCAGAUGAAUCAGACAACCCGUUUGUUGGGUUGCUGCCCCUGAAUUGGUAAUUUUAAGGAAAUUUUGCUGUUUUUGGUUAUUAUCUUGAAUAUUAUUAUAGAUAGAUAAACUGUAAACAGCAAUUAUGUUCAGCAAAGUAAGAUUUACAAAUAAGUCAACAUGACCGAAAUGGUCAGUUGACCCCUUUAGGAGUUAUUGCCCUUUAUAGUCAAUUUUUAACCAUUUUCGUAAAUCUUAGUAAUCGUUUACAAAAAUCUUUCUCCUCUGAAACUACUGGGCCAAAUUAAUCCAAAACUUGGCCACAAUCAUCUUUGGGGUAUCUAGUUUAAAAAUGUGUCCGUGACUCGGCCAACCAACCAAGAUGGCCGCCAUGGCUAAAAAUAGAACAUUAGGGGUAAAAUGCAGUUUUUGGCUUAUAACUCAAAAACCAAAGCAUUUAGAGCAAAUCUGACAUGGGUAAAUUGUUUAUCAGGUCAAGAUCUAUCUGCCCUGAAAUUUUCAGAUGAAUCGGACAACCUGUUGUUGGGUUGCUGCCCCUGAAUUGGUAAUUUUAAGGAAAUUUUACUGUUUUUUGGUUAUUAUCUUGAAAUAUUAUUAUAGAUAGAGAUAAACUGUAAACAGCAAUAAUGUUCAGCAAAGUAAGAUCUACAAAUAAGUCAACAUGACCAAAAUUGUCAGUUGACCCAUUUAGGAGUUAUUGCCCUUUAUAGUCAAUUUUUAACCAUUUUUUCGUAAAAUCUUAGUAAUCUUUUACAAAAAUCUUCUCCUCUGAAACUACUGGGCCAAAUUAAUUCCAAACUUGGCCACAAUCAUCAUUGGGUAUCUAGUUUAAAAAAUUGUGUCCGAUGACCCGGCCAAACCUAACAAGAUGGCCGCCAGGCUAAAAAUAGAACAUAGGGGUAAAAUGCAGUUUUUGGCUUAUAACUCAAAAACCAAAGCAUUAGAGAAAAUCUGACAUGGGGUAAAAAUUGUUUAUCAGGUCAAGAUCUAUCUGCCCUGAAAUUUUCAGAUGAAUCGGACAACCCGUUGUUGGGUUGCUGCCCCUGAAUUGGUAAUUUUAAGGAAAUUUUUGCUGUUUUUUGGUUAUUAUCUUGAAUAUUAUUAUAGAUAUAGAUAAACUGUAAAACAGCAAUAAUGUACAGCAAAGUAAGAUCUACAAAUAAGUCAACAUGACCAAAAUGGUCAAUUGACCCCUAAGGAGUUAUUGCCCUUUAUAGUCAAUUUUAAACAAUUUUCACAAAAAUUUGUAAAUUUUUUACUAACAUUUUCCACUGAAACUACUGGUCAAGUUCAUUAUAGAUAGAGAUAAUUGUAAAGCAGCAAGAAUGUUCAGUAAAGUAAGAUCUACAAAACACAUCACCAUCACCAAACACAAUUUUGUCAUGAAUCCAUCUGCUUCCUUUGUUUAAUCAUGUUAAUAGUCACAUAGACCAAGGUGAGCGACACAGGCUCUUUAGAGCCUCUAGUUUUCAGAUGUAACUGGAACCACACAUACUUUUUUAUUUGGCCUAAUUAUGAUUUCUGGCAAGGCUAUUUUAUUUUUUUUCUGGGACACCUUCCUAUGAAUUUUCUGGGACGCCUUCCUAUGUAUGUCGUAGGAAGGCGUCCCAGAAAAAAAAAUGAAAAAUAGCCUUGCCAGACGUCAUAAUUAUUUGGACUAGUCAGCAUGGUCAGGAAUUACCAUUAAUUGGUGGAAUAUACCUCAAAUCUGAUACUAUCAUAAUUAAGAUUGCUCAAAUAGACUAGGGUUCGGUUAAGUAUUCAUUUUGGGGUGAACUAGAUAUAAAACCCGAAGUCAUUUGAGCAAAUGUAACCUGAUAAAAUUGAUUCUCCAUCAAUGUUUUUGUCGAUAUAUUUUUUUUUUACAUAUAUAUUUCUCUUCUCCAUGUAUCAAGUAAAUAUUUCGUCCAAUUCGACAAAAUAUGACAAUGUCCUACUAACAGUACUACAGUUCGGCAAAGAAUGACAGGAUAACUCACCUUGUCUAUUCUCGCGAGAUCUCAUUUAAGAUAUGAUACUAUCAUAAUUAAGAUUGCUCAAAUAACUAGGGUUGUUAAGUAUUGGGAGGAGUAGAUAUAAAACACAGUCAUACUUCACCUGAACAAUGGAAGUUACUAUACAGAAACAAAACAAACCUUUAAGACUUCCCAAAACUCAUCCCAAAACUCAAACCUUAAAAUAAAUCCAUAUGCUGUCAGGCAGCUUUGAAAGCAGAAAGUUAAGCCUGAUGAUACAUUUUUUGUACAUAUACUGGUCCCAGGGGACGUACUUAACUUACAAGGUGCAAUUAUUCAAUUUACACAUCGUAAAGUCUCACUGUGAACUUAAGAUGAAGAAUGACAAUCAAGCGCCAUCGCAUUUGAUCUUGUUUAAAUCUAAUUCAAAAAUGAUUUGUCGAACAUUGUGAAUUGUCAUAAAUAUGAUAAACUCCCUUUAUAUACACAUUAGUGACACGAAUUAAGAGAACUGUUAAAACUUCUAACAAUACAAUUGAAAGAUGAUAGAUGAACUUCAAGACAAAUGGGGUGUGAACGGAACUACAUGUAGUGUCGAUGUGGUAUCCGUGUACUAUGGACACUGGGAUUCUUGUUUCCACAUGUUUACUUAUUUUAAUAUAUAUGCAAUUGGUAUGACCCCUUAAAUAUUUAACAUUUCAAAGAAAACAGUAGUCAGAAUACAUAGAGACUUUAUAUUAAAGCAGUAUAAUCGUUGUUUACAUGUACAUGAUGUAGAUAAACGCGAAAAAUAAUUGUCCUCUCUAACAUGUCUAAGGAGGUAUAAUAGUUGUGGUUCUUGCGAUCUAAACACCAUGAUAUGGAGAACGCUCUGGUUGGCUUUUUUAUUUUUCAUUUUUGAUAUCUAUCAUACGAUUGGUAGUACGUGUGCAUAUUUCAAACAGGAAGUCUCAUCUAUGACUAAAGGUCAGUCUGAUGACGGAAUCAUAUCCGGACUCUUUUUUUUUUUGUCGUUUUUGUCCAAAAUUAUCUCAAUCUGACACAGAGGAAUAAUGAUUAAUUUAUUGUGGAAGGAAGAGAAGCGACACACAAAAUGAGGUCUUCUCGUUUCAUAGUAUACAUUUUUGAAGAUUCACUCUUAAAGUCUUUGCAUUGGAAGCUCAAAUUUGAUAGUUGAAAUUGUUCUAAUUCAACGCCACAAUUCAGCACCCAAAGUUCAGAUAUAAAAAAUGCCACAUUUUUUUUAUUUGGUAUCAUAUGGCUUUGAAACUUUGUAAACUGUUUUAUAAUAUACUAAGCUUAAAUCAUGCCAAGUUUUAUCAGAAUUUGUCAAGUUUUAGGCCCCUAAUAGGCCCAAGACAACAAUUAAUGACCCCGCUUUUCGUUCUCCACGAAAUAUAUAGUUCCUUUUAAUUAGAGUGUAUUUUUCCUUAUUUUUUUUCUUUCCCUUCCUCACUCAUUUCUUAGAUUUUUUUUGGGUGGAAAUGAAAGAAGAGAGAGGUGAAAUAAAUUUUUGGAUGUUGUAUUUAAACUGAUUUUGAUAUGGAAUGAGUGAUUAGGCCAAGUGCAAAAAGGUAAUAUUUACAGUUUUUGGAACAUCUCUUGACUUGUCAAUAGGGGUAUGGAUGUGUAUUAGCUAAAUUUGUAAAAGUGAUUGGUUCAAUCUUUCUGAAUUUUAGAUAUAUAUUUGGACUACAAAACGGACUAGGACUAUACAUUACACACACAAAAAAAUUGACAAAAGUGCAUGGUGCAAUUUUUUUAAUGAUGCAAAACGUUAUAAAGAACUGAUAGAGGAAUUAAUUGUGGUCUGUGGCCUGAUAAUAGAACCAUGCAAUUUAACGUCUCGGGUGUUUUCCUAUAGUAAUAAUAGAACCAUGCGGUCUAUCUGAUAAUCCGAAAAACGUAAUUAACCCUCAUUCAUGAUAUAUUUUUUUUAUAAACAUCUUUAAAUUUGUGAAAUUUGGCUAGUACAGACGAGAUUUAACUCUUAUAAUAAUCUCAUUUAGUUUAGCUUGGUAUUAUUUCGAUUGAAGAACCCCAAAGACUUUUUAGGAAUAUAGUUUUUGUCUCCAUAAAGACGAUUAACUGUCCUUGUCAUUUUUUGGUCUUUGGCUUGUUUUGACAUUUUGUAAACAUGACUUCAGCGAUUUGUUGUUUUGUUCUAUGAAUUAAUGGUACUCUAUACUGUUAUUCUUGUCACCGUGAUGAAGUUAUAAUAAUACAAGAAGUGCAGAGGAACUGCAUGAAAUGUCCUCUGAUACAGAACGUCUGGAAUAAGUAUGAUAUCGACAAAGACCCAAAUUUAAAAAUGUACAAAAAAAAACAUUAACAUGAACAAGGCAACAGUACCAGUUUAAACAUAGUAAAUAAAAGUUAACUUAAAUAUUGUUGGGGUUGGAAGAAGUUAUUGUAUAUAUAUUCAUUGAAAUUGAAAUUACAAAAUCACAGGAACAAUAUCCAUGAUUUUAUUUAAAAUCAUAAAAGUAAGUACCAACACCUUUUUGCAAAAAUAUACUGAUACUUUUUUGUCGAGCCUGCAACUUUUGUUGCAGAAAGCUCGACAUAGGGAUAGUGAUCCGGCGGCGGCGGCGGUGUUAGCUAACUUCUUAAAAGCUUUAUAUUUUAGAAGGUGGAAGACCUGGAUGCUUCAUACUUUUGUAUAUAGAUACCUCAUGUUACGAAGUUUCCGUCAGUCACAUGUCCAAUGUCCUUGACCUCAUUUUCAUGGUUCAGUGACCACUUGAAAAAAAAGUUAAGAUUUUUUGUAAUGUUGAAUUCUCUCUUAUUAUAAGUAAUAGGAUAACUAUAUUUGAUAUGUGCGUACCUUGAAAGGUCCUCAUGUCUGUCAGACAGUUUUCACUUGACCUCGACCUCAUUUCAUGGAUCAGUGAACAAGGUUAAGUUUUGGUGGUCAAGUCCAUAUCUCAGAUACUACAAGCAAUAGGACUAGUAUAUUCGGUGUAUGGAAGGACUGUAAGGUGUACAUGUCCAACUGGCAGGUGUCAUCUGACCUCGACCUCAUUUUCAUGGUUCAGUGGUUAUAGUUAAAUUUUUGUGUUUUGGUCUGUUUUCCUCAUACUAUAUGCAAUAGGUCUACUAUAUUUGUUGUAUGGAAUGAUUGUAAGGUGUACCUAUCUAGCGGGCAGAUGUCAUGUGACCUUGACCUCAUUUUCAUGGUUCAGUGGUCAAAGUUAAGUUUUUGAGUUUUGGUCUUUUUAUCUAAUACUAUAUAUGCAUAUAGGUCAUCUAUAUUUGGUGUAUGGAAAUAUUUUAUGAUCUUUAUGUCAGUCGUGCAGGUUUUAUUUGACCGUGACCUCAUUUUCACGGUUCAUUGCACAGUGUUAAGUUUCUGUGUUUUGGUCUAUUUUUCUUAAACUAUAAGUAAUAGGUCAACUAUAUAUGUUGUAUAGAAGCAUUGUUAGCUGUACAUGUCUGCCUGGCAUAGUUCAUCUGACCUUGACCUCAUUUUCAAGGUUCAUUGGUCUUUGUUUAGUUAUCUUGGUUAAUGUUAAGUUUAUGUGACAGUUGUAUUAAAGCUUAGCUUUAUACUUAGGACUAUCAACAUAAUAUCAAUGAUUAGUAUAGAAGGUGAGACAUUUCAGCGUGUGCACUCUUGUUUAUUUUUUACAGAAGUCAAUUCAAAUGGCCCAUUAUUUUUUAAAAUGGCCCAUUGAAUUUAUUUUCGAGGGGCCCUGGGACCAUAGUGAAAAAAACCUUCCAGAUCACUGGGUAAUCACAUUUUUAACCCUUGUACCAGAUCACUUUAUGUAAUCUUUUUCCCACCAUUUUAAGGCUUGUGCAGUUUGCAGGCUGUUGUAAAUGAUGUCAGUAACCAUGGUAACACAAUUUAUUUUGCACGUCUAGUAUAUCAAAUGGUCGUCUCCUUAGAUAAAUGUGAUUAUCAAAAUAAAUUUCAUCUAGGCUACAUGUAUAUGUUAUUACAUUUUAAUAAUGUAUCACUAAUCAUAUAGAUGUGGGGUAAUUGGUUUUUAUCUUCAGAAAAUUUGAAUUAGUUGUGAUAACAAUGUUAAUCAGUUGUUUAACAAAAACACUGUAAUACAUAUAACAAAUAGACAGGUACAUGUAGGUGAACCAUAGGCUUCACUCUUCGAAUUACAGAAUUCCCCGUAUCUAGCCCCUCCUUUACUCUAGCAAUCUGAAACAUGAAUUAGAUAUCACAUGGCUGUCUUGUGUACAAGUACAUACCACAAAAUACGCACCUGCAAUCAAGAAAUUUUGAUUAGAUAAGUACACAUUGUUCUUUAUAAAAUCUGAAUUACGAGGGAACUGUAUGACCUUCACUGUAUUGUCAGUGAAUUACGAGGGAACUGUAUGACCUUCACUGUAUUGUCAGUGAAUUACGAGGGAACUGUAUGACCUUCACUGUAUUGUCAGUGAAUUACGAGGGAACUGUAUGACCUUCACUGUAUUGUCAGUGAAUUACGAGGGAACUGUAUGACCUUCACUGUAUUGUCAUGUCAGUGAAUUACGAGGGAACUGUAUGACCUUCACUGUAUUGUCAGUGAAUUACGAGGGAACUGUAUGAACCUUCACUGUAUUGUAUUGUCAGUGAAUUACGAGGGAACUGUAUGACCUUCACUGUAUUGUAUUGUCAGUGAAUUACGAGGGAACUGUAUGACCUUCACUGUAUUGUCAGCGAAUUACGAGGGAACUGUAUGACCUUCACUGUAUGAAUUACGAGGGAACUGUAUGACCUUCACUGUGUAUUGUCAGUGAAUUACGAGGGAACUGUAUGACCUUCACUGUAUUGUAUUGUCAGUGAAUUACGAGGGAACUGUAUGACCUUCACUGUAUUGUCAGUGAAUUACGAGGGAACUGUAUGACCUUCACUGUAUUGUAUUGUCAGUGAAUUACGAGGGAACUGUAUGACCUUCUGUACUGUAUUGUCAGUGAAUUACGAGGGGAACUGUAUGACCUUAACUGCACUGUAUUGUCAGUGAAUUACGAGGGAACUGUAUGACCUUCACUGUAUUGUAUUGUCAGUGAAUUACGAGGGAACUGUAUGACCUUCACUGUAUUGUAUUGUCAGUGAAUUACGAGGGAACUGUAUGACCUUCACUGUAAUCUGAAUUACGAGGGAACUGUAUGACCUUCACUGUAUUGUCAGUGAAUUACGAGGGAACUGUAUGACCUUCACUGUAUUGUAUUGUCAGUGAAUUACGAGGGAACUGUAUGACCUUCACUGUAUGUCAGCGAAUUACGAGGGAACUGUAUGACCUUCACUGUAUUGUAUUGUCAGUGAAUUACGAGGGAACUGUAUGACCUUCACUGUAUUGUAUUGUCAGUGAAUUACGAGGGAACUGUAUGACCUUCACUGUAUUGUAUUGUCAGUGAAUUACGAGGGAACUGUAUGACCUUCACUGUAUUGUCAGCGAAUUACGAGGGAACUGUAUGACCUUCACUGUAUUGUAUUUGUCAUGUGAAUUACGAGGGAACUGUAUGACCUUCACUGUAUUGUAUUGUCAGUGAAUUACGAGGGAACUGUAUGAUCUUCACUGUAUUGUCAGUGAAUACAUAUAUAUCAUGAUCAUGUACAUGCAAAAUAGUGAAUACAUAUAUAUCAUGAUCAUGUAUAUGCAAACAUUCCAUUUUAUAAUAUUGGACCCAGGAUUUUGUUGGGUUUGUUUACAGGUUUACAUCUGUUUAUAAAUAAACUCAUCAAAGAUACCAGGAUUGAAAUUUUGUAUUUGUGCCAGACGCGCGUUUCGUCUACAAAAGACUCAUCAGUGACACUCAAAUAAAAAAAAAGUUAAAAAGGCCAAAUAAAGUACGAAGAUUAAGACCAUUGCAUGUUGAAGACCAAAAAUUCAUAAAAGUUUUGCCAAAUACAGCUAAGGUAAUCUAUUCCUGAGGUAGAAAAGCCUUAGUAUUUCAAAAAUUCAAAGUUUUGUAAACAAUUAUAGUUAUGACCAUAUCAAUGAUAAUUUACAUGUUUAACAUUUUAUAUUAAUCUUUAUUUGCAGAUUCUUAUCAGGCUAAUUGACAGGUGGCAGAAGGGGUAAAAAUGUAUAUAAUAUAAAGUGACAUUAAGGCCAUGAAGACAGACUGUACAAUAACAUGCUGAAAGUGCAAUAAGAGUUUGACGAAGGCCCACGUGUAAUCCCUUAUUGACAAUUGCAGAACUCUGGCCAACAGAUUUCACAUUGGGUAUUUAACAUGUUUAAUCAUAUUGAUAAUAAGACAGAGGCUUUACUUAAACAAGUUUCUUUCAAAACAACCUAAAGGCAAAGUACUGUACACAAUUAACUACUUCAGAGAAUUGUUUAUGCCCCGGCCGUAACGAAGGGGGCAUUAAGUUUUAUCCUUGACGAAGGCCCACGUGUAAUCCAUUAUUGACAAUUGCAGAACUCUGGCCAACAGAUUUCACAUUGGGUAUUUAACAUGUUUAAUCAUAUUGAUAAUUAGACAGAGGCUUUACUUAAACAAGUUUCUUUCAAAACAACAAUUAUAAGGCAAAGUGUACACAAUUAACUACUCCACAGAUUUUUUUAUGCCCUGGCCAUGAAGACAGACUACAAUAAUAUGCGGAAGUUGCAAUAAGAGUUUGACGAAGGCCCACGUGUAAUCAAUUAUUGACAAUUGCAGAACUCAGAGAUUUCACAUUGGGUAUUUAACAUGUUUAAUCAUAUUGAUAAUUAGACAGAGGCUUUACUUAAACAAAUUUCUUUCAAAACAACAAUUAUAAGGCAAAGUGUACACAAUUAACUACUUCACAGAAUUUUUUAUGCCCCGGCCAUAACGGAGGGGGCAUUAAGUUUUACCCUUGUCUGUCUGUACGUACGUACGUCCGUACGUCCCAAAGUUUGCUUCUGUUCUCUUACUUUAGUUUGCCUCAACCAAAUGUUAUGAAACUUAUACACAAUGCUUAUUACCACAAAACACAAAUCAAGUUUGAAUUUUGGUGGUGUCACUUAAACCAAUCUAGAGUUAUGCCCCUUUACCAAUGAAAAAAUUGCUGAAUUUUUCAUUUCCGUUCUCUUACUUUAGUUUGCCUCAACCAAAUGUUAUGACAUUUAUACACUAUGCUUAUUACCACAAAAUACAGAUCAAGUUUAAAUUUUAGGGGUGUCAAUAUUACUGUUCUACAGUUAUGCCCCUUUUAUAGCGUUAUAUGAUAUGCAAGCGGGGGUAUCAUCUGUGUCCCAUGGACACAUUCCCCAUUUAUUUAAUUAUCACAUAUUACUUGUCGCUUCUUGUCGCUAAAAAAAUCUUCUUGUCGCUUCUUGAUGCUUCUUAUCGCUAACAUUAUUCUUGUCGCUAAUUAGUGAGACCGGGCGGCGCUGAUGUUUGUCACUUUUUUUUGUGACAAGUUUUGUUUUUAUAAAAAACUUGUCGUGAACCUUUCAUUUAGAAUCAAAAUUGUGCUUACAAUGUAAAUAGGUCAGGAAUUACCAUUAAUUGGUGGAAUUUACAUUAAAUCAGGUAUAAUCUACCAUUUGACAUAUAUAAUCAUGGUAGUGACCACUUAGCAGGGUUGGCAAAGUAGUACCCGCCCGGGUUUUCCUGGGCUGGGAAAUACUCCCUGAAACGGGUAAUACUUGGCAAUAUGAUUUUUUAAACUUAUUUCAAAACAAAAUAGUAAAGACUUGUAGUUUCAUAGUAUUAUAGCUAAAUAUAUACAUGUUAUACAUAUAACCAUUGAGAGUAUUUUCUAGAAGAUUACAAAUUCAAUUUCAUUCUCUUCUCCACAUAAUUUCUAUGUAGGCAAAAUACAAGAUUUGCACAUUUAAGGAUUAUUAAUUUCCAAGCAUUGAUAUGCAAUCAUGAUUGCUAAAUAAACACCCUACAGGGUCUUGCCAUUAACUCUUAUAGACAUGAAAAGACUGAUUAUUGUUAUAAAUAAACAUAUCUGUGUUCUAAUCUGAAUAAUUUACUCAUUAAUUAGUUUUGUACAUUUGUACAUAUAAAUUAUUUAAAAGUAAUUUUUCUUACAUUUUCAUGUCAUCGUUAAAUUCUUUGUACUAGUUAAAUGUAGAUGAAAUUUUUUUUUUAUCAGAGUUAUUAGAAUAAUUCUUUCUCAAAUGUAUACACUUGUAAUUUUGUAUGUAUAUAUUAUAAGACUGUCAAACAAGUAAACUUGUUUAUAUAUAUCUUAAGGGGGUUCGCGGGUCUAAAUCAUUUAUAUAGGAUUUCUCUAUAUUUUUCGAUAAAUGAACUUUAUCUUAUAGUUAAUAGAAAAAUAAAAUAAAAAAAUGGGGUCACCGUUCAUUUGCGCUCACAAUUUGCCUUCGAAAGAAGCAUACAUCUUUGUAAAAGUGUUUUUUUUCUGUUGAACUAAUAGGAGAAAUAAAGGUAAUAUCGAAAUAAAAAAAAGAAAUUUAUUACAGAAAUCGCUCAAAUUUUACAAUGAUUUAGUUUAAGUACAGCAUAUAUCGAAAUUAUAUUAAAAAAUAUAGGUCACCGAUGAGUUAAAAGAGAUAUUUCAAUUUUAAAGCCAAAAAAUGGCAUUUUUCCACCAAAGGGAGAUAAUUUGGAACUUUUUCAAUGAUGUUUACAUUUUAAAAGUCAUCUGGGUCCAACACUAAUUACUUGUGUCAAAUGUUUUUUGUACCAUAUGAUAAAGUAACUCUACAAAAGGUAAUAAAUAAAAUUUGUAAUGAAAAACAAAUGUUUAAUUUUUUUCUUAAAUUUUUAUACCCUCGAGCCUCCUUAAAUGUAUUGUAUUUGUGUUUGAUUACUGAAUUAUCUAUAAAAUUCAAGCCAGUAUACUAUAUAACCCAGUAAAACUCAGUAAAACCCGGGUUUUCCCAGUUUUUCCCCCUUGGAUGGGCAAUACUAAUAAAACCCGGGUAUUUGCAAACCCUGCCACUUAAAGAUGACAUGUUAUUGAUUCUGACACUUCGUGCUGCAAUUUGUUAGAGGAACCUAAAAACUAAUGUAAUCCUCCUUUUCCUUCUGAUAAAUUCUGUCGGUUUUCAUCUAUUAAAUCUUAUUUGUGUUCUGUAGUCUCUUCCUGUCCAUUUGGCUAAUUAAAAUGAAUUGAUAAAUAUUCAUCCCUGCCCGCCCCUCUGAAAUCGUCCCGUCCCGAUCGCAAAACCCUGAAAAUACCAUUAUCCGACCCCAGAAUCUGAUCCGGUAUUGUAAUUGUCUUCAUUUCCAGUUGAUGGCAUCCAUUGUUUUUUAAUGUUGUUUUGUCAGUCAGAUACGAUUUACUCUUCUUUGCUAGCCAAGGGUUACGAUCUACUCCCCUUCUCUUCACCCUUGACCAGUCAGGGGUACUACUUGUAUAAGUAAUUUUUAUUUACUUGAAGAAGUAAACAAAAAGAUACUUAUAUAAGUAAAUUAUAAUGUUUGAAAAAUCUCCCCUUAAUUUUCUCAAAAAUUUACUUAUACAGUAAUUUUUUUUACAAUCUCACCAAAAUUCUCAAGUUUUGAGAUGUAAAAUUAUGACUUUAAUGAUUUUUCCCAGGUUAGUUCAUAAUUUUUUUAAAAGAGUUCAAUGUUUCAUCUCUAUUAAUUCAACGAAGAAACUGAUUGCGUAAAGAUCUUAAGUAUUUGCACAAAGCUUUCAAAUUGCUCCUUUGAGACUAAUCAACUAAUAGAAGUUCGAGUGUAUGUUUCAUGCACAAAUGCAUGAAUGUUGACGUAUAUUUUUGUUUCCGGCUUUACCAAGUGUGUAGAAUCUAGACGCUACUGUGUUUUUACCUCCAAAUUGAAGAGUUCAAGUGCUACCAUUGGUAUAUCAUUUUCAUUAUUAACAGUCAGGGGACUUACUUAAAUGAGUGAUUUUAUAAAUCACUGGUUUAAGUAACAUUAUUUCCAUAAAAGUUUGAAGUAAGAGUUGUCUUUAUUGAAUAAUCACCUAUUUAAGUAGUACAAAUUAAUCACUAGAAAAAUAUAGAAUACAAAUGAUCCAGGGACUAAUUAUUUUUCUAAACUUAUCAGAACCAACAUCUGUGUUGUCUAGGAUGACCAGGUCAUUUCAGGUGAUGACCUUGUACUGAAUAUAGGAUAAUGACAUUAAAAUCACUUGUUUAAGUAUCAUACCUCAAUUUCCUCCUCAAAAAUCACUUAUUUAAGUAUUAUUUUAAUAACCCCCACUAAUUUCAACACCCCCGAACAGUGAAAUUUUUAUCGCGAACAGUAGAAUUUUAUUGCAUAAUCUGAAAGAUGAAACCUUGAACUUUACAGGAAAAAUACUCCCACUGCUGUGAAAAAUCUGUUAAGAAAGUAUCAGUUCAUUAUAUAUGUAAAGCCAUUAUUGUAGCAUUUUUUCAACUAAAAUAUAAUUUUCAGCUAAAUGAUAGCACCAAAGGCAUAAACCUUGCUACUUAAAAGAAGCAAAAAGUUCAUUUUUUUUCAAUUUUACUAAUUAAAAGAUAUAUUUAAACCUAUGUGUUUAAAAUUUUGAAAAAAAACUACAAAAUCCCAAUUUGUGACAAAACUUUGAAUUUGCUACUCAAAUAAGUGAUUUAAAAAUCACUUAUUUCAGUAAGUCCCCUGACUGUAUUAAUUUAAAAAUGUAGUUUCAAUAAAUAUUAAGGAGGAAGCUUGAUGGUUCGUGGCAUUCCCUCUUAAUUAGAAAAUAAUCUAUUAUAAAUAUUCAAUCAGAACCCAAAUUCAGAGCUGUUUUAAGCUUGAAUGUUGUGUCCAUACUUGUUCAACUGUUCAGGGUUUGACCUAUGCAGGAAAAUCUGGUUUGCUGUCACUUGACAGCCUCUUGUCCUUAUUGUUGAAGGCCGUACCAUUGCCUAUAAUUGCUUACAUCCACUUCAUUUGAACUUAAGUUGAUAGUUGUCUCAUUGGUAAUCAUAUUCCUUAUUUUUAUAAAUAUACAAUGAUUUCAUUUUCUUUUACAGGAUAUAAUGGCAAGUUGGGAUGAGGUAAGUUUUUCUUCUUAAAAGUCAGUGUCAUCUGACCUACAUGUAUAUCAUGUGACAUAUGUUGUCUAUAAACUGUAUAUAAAGAUACAGGCGUGCAGUAUUCUCAGGGGGAGAACAGGAGAAAUCAAAAUGACUACAGUGAACAGAAUUUCAAUAUACAAAAUUCCAGGAGACAAAAAAAAAGAAACGUAAGAUAUUGUAGGACAUUCACAACUCUUUAAGUCGAAGAGAAUCUGACAUCGCCAUGGAAAAAAAUGAAAAACAAUCAAAAUUCAACAGUCUACAUUAGUCAUUUCAGGGCCUUUUAUAGCUGACUAUGCCAUAUGGGCUUUGAUCAUUGUUGAAGGCUGUACGGUGACCUAUAGUUGUUAUUUUCUGUGUCAUUUGGUCUAUUUUGUAUAAUUGUCUCAUUGGCAAUCAUACCACAUCUUCUUUUUAUAUUCAAAACAUUACAUAGAAAACUAAAGACCGAGCAACACAAACCUCAACAAAAACUUAGGCUGAUCUCAAAACUGAUGCAUAAUACAAUUGUCUACAGACUUUUCUAAAAAAAACUCUGAAAUUAUAGACAACAAUUUCACUCCUUCUUGGUAAUCACUGUUUUUGGUAUAAACUGUUGAAACUGUAAAAAUGUAGCUUGUUAAAUUCAAUUAUUACAUUUAUAAUAUAUUUGUAUGUUCUAGAGGAAAAUGUAAAAGCUUUGUUUUGCUUACAGAAACUUCUUACAGCUGCAGAGCAGGGGAAUUUAAAAGAGGUAGAAUUAUGUGUAAAGAACAGAGCUAACUUGGAAUGUAGAGAUUCUG